AGUUUCAAAACGAAUGCGCGACAGAACGCUGCCAAUAUUCACGUGACUCAAAGCUUGCGCCUGCAUGGUCAAAUCUCUGAAAAGUCAGUUCUGAAAAAAGACAUUGCAAUGGCGUAAACGUACACCUUUACAUGUUUUUAACACCUGUUCCCAUUUACAAGGUUUCAAAACCGGGAAACAAUGAAAUACACUGUUCGAACAGUGCCAGAUUUGAAACUCUGCAAAUGCGCAGGUGAUAUUGUUAGAACUUUGAAAAUGUGUUGGUGAAAAUUAUGAAGAUAAAAUAGAACGCAAAAUCAUGUUUACAGAUGUUUGAAUUUUAGUUUGAAUUUAUAAGCCUUUGAAACUUUUUUUUUCAGGUUGGAAUUAUGGCAGGAAACUGGCUCCAUAGCAUUGCGCUCUCGAAAUGCAUUUUGGGUCCGUCCGUUCAGACCUGUCCAUCCAUGGUUCAGAGUCGCACUCGCGACGCUCAUCCGUCGAAGGACGCAUGAUGUGUGGAACAAGCGCACAUAGGCCUACCUGAUCGCGUUCAUUUGUUCGCCUCCCUCCACCUCCCUCUCUCUCCGGUGCAUAUUUAAGCCACUUCUUCAGUGUCCCUGAAAAAACAACAUGGGUGGUCCCUGGCAGCUGUUUUUGGAGUGCAGCUGAAAGAAAGAAAGAAAGAAAGAAAGAAGGAAAGAAACCCGGUCAAGAAUUACCAACAUUGCGACGAUACUUCCUACAAAUACUGAGUAAUGUAGUGGAUGGCUGGAAAGAAGAGGGGGUUUCUCUCAUAACAGCCUCUGCUAAUUGAAACUCCUCCAUGGUCCUCAGAGGCAGCUUGAUGGACGAAGCGGCAGCUUCUGGUGCUACCGGCCUCACCAUCUCUCUCCUAAGCGCCCUCACUUCACUCCCCAGGGGGGGUGGUGCCUCGUCAUCAGUGUCCACACCUUAGCAUAGGUCUUCAGCCUCUGACUGUAUGUCUGAUGUUAAACACAGUAAGGACUUUUUCAGGUAGUCCUUUGCCUUAACAUAUGUUGCUGAAAGUGAAUGGCAUGCAUUAGUGAAAUUUAGCAAGUUGAAUCUUAUAGAAACGUUUUCAUAUGCAGCAUUUUUCCUUACCACAGCUAACCAAGACCCUCACGUCACCGUGCACGUCCCACGCUGCACCUGGAGGAAGGUGGUGCGCGACUGCCUUCUGGAGGCGGUUAUGAUCGUAAGAACUAGGAGGCCAGAAACAAUUCCAUGACUCCCCUGCCUCCUCCAACCAGCUGCUUGGCACUAUGGUAGUGCUCCUAUCUUUGAAUUCGACGACCUUCCACACCUGUGCCAUCUGUCAAUGAGAAGACAAGGAAUUAGGAUUGGUGAAGAAGAGGGAUGGCAACAUAAUGGUCUUGGUCUGGAAAAAGCACACAUUUUCUGCUGACAUCCCCAAGGAGCUCAACCUCAAGAUCAUCUACCAACGUAUGGACCUGAAAACAGCCUAUUCGAGAGGAGGGGCAGGGAUAUGUGAAAUGGGAUUCCUUGUACCCAAAUCGUCUGUAGAUGAUGAAGACUGAACCAGAGGAUAGCACAAUGUUUUGGACCAGUCCAAUAUCCUGUCCUACUGCUAUGCAGUUGUUCCCAGUCUUUGUUGACAGGCAGAAAUCUGUUGUUACUACCUUUCUGUACUGUUUGGCAGUACUGAAUUGCAGAGGCAAAGGACCAUCCUGGUGCAUUUCGUACAAAAGGGGCUGCUUACUUGGAGGUGGAGUUACAGUUUGAGGCACCUCUGACAGUCUCUUGACUACUUGUUGUAAUGGUAGUUGAGGCUUUCGCAACAUUUUUUUUACUUUUCCAAGGAAGUUUUCAUAAGGAAAUGCAGAGACACGGUCAAGGGCACCAAACUGUUUGUACACAUCAGCUAGAUGUAUCACCUGAUGAACUGUAAAUACAAUUUCUCCUUGACCAUAUAAAUCUCCAAAGCUUUUAACAAAUGCUGUUAGGACUCGAUUGGCAAAAUCAAUCAUGGGUGCAGAGAGGUUGGGGCUGAGUAAUAAGAACACACCCACGGAAAACAACAGGAAGUUCUCAAAAAUCUCUUCUGGUAGAUUGUGCUUUAGGACCACAGGUCCACUGUAAAUCAUGAACUGCCUUAGUUCUGUAGCCUUCCAUCUUUCGAUCUCUGUCAGCUCUCGUGGUUUUCGGGCAAAUUCAGAUGGAAUAUGGGGACGGAGAGCAAUCAGUUUAGAUGAUAUAGCUGAGAUGACAUUAGAUGGCUGUCUUAUGGCCAGGUUUUUGCCCUUCAUCCAGAAAAGAAUGAGUUUUUUUGUUACACCCAAACAGCAGAGGUGCAUGUAAUCAAUGGGAAACUGGGUUACCAUCUGAACAAUGCCAGUAAGGGGACUAGGUCGCAGGUGGUGAUCUGUGUCUGACAUUAAAGCAAAGUCUUCGUCUGUUCUAAGCCUGGCAUUUAUUUCAGGAUAUGUCAUUUUAUUUUGCCACACGCCAACUUGAUUGCACUUGUCACACCCAGAGUACCCAUUGUGGGACUUCAUCUGUUUCACAAAAGCACGUGCUGGAGCAUCACAAAUGAAGGAGCACACCAUCACCUUUAGAGGUUUACCUCUGAAGGUCAAUCCAUUCCUCAGUAGCUGGGUAAGGUCAUUGACAAAUUCUUUGAGGUAGUCAUACACACUAGAUGGUUUUCCACUUCCACAAAACAAACCAAUAAUAAAAGGUUUUUUUGUGUAAUCACAAUCGAGCAUCGCAAGAAUUGGCCAAAACUGAACUUUUGAACUCUUAAAAAUGGGUAAACCGUCGAUGUUGAAUUGUAACCGAAUUGUCUGAAGGCAGCUAGGCAAAUGGAUUGAAUUCAAUUUUGAUAAAAUUCCCUUAGCCAAUCCAAAAUGGUGAUAUUCACCACCACCUAAUGCAUGCACAGCUAUUUUCUUUUGUGUGCCAAGAAGUGUCCUGGCAUCUUUAGGCAGCUCAGAGUGGUGUACUCUCAAUAUUGAUAGAAGAGCGGUAACUGCAACAAGAGUAAUGCCAAAAGUUGAUGCCCAUUGCUUUAGUUUAACUUGUAAACUCAUUUCCUCAGGCUCACUUUCAUCAGAGCUGGAUAACCCACUAAAAUCCUCUCUUUCACUGGCAUCACUGUCUGUAGUGUUUUGGUCAGGACUGUUUGCCACUGUUGCCCCACACAGUGCUAGAUCUGGUAAGCUAGGGGGGGCAUUUUCAGCCUGAUUAACUGUACUUAAAUGUAAUUGCUGCAAAAUCUCGUUCUCUGUCUCCCUUGCGUUGGACAAGACUCGCCUCCUUUUACUCCAAUAAGAGGCCAUCUCUGUGUGUAUCGGAUACAAUUUUGAAAUGCAAGUUUGAUACCUUUUCUGCCGUGAGCUUUGAAUGGUCUUCAGUGUCCCAUAAAUAUGCAAAUGAAGAAGAAAAAAAACACAAAGUUAGUUUUGAUGGCAUAGUGUGACAACAAUGAAUAGUUGCAUUUAACCCUUUCACAUGCAAGUGAAGAAUCCCCCUUCUAAUAAUGUAUAGCCUAUUAAGGACCUAUUUCAGGAUAAAUAUACAAAUACAUUCACAUUGAAGUGUAGAAGGUCCUACAGGCAGCUGUAAUAAACUAAGAUAUACUAUUUAUGAGAUGGCUUGCAGUGUGCUUAUCUGACAGGAUUAAAACCGUGCAUUCUGUGUGAAUGUGUAUUUGAAUGUUAACAUUUAAUAACAUGUCGUUUUUAGUUAUGUAAUCAUUUGAAAGUCCCUUCAAGUUGAAAAGUACAUGCAUUCUUAUUAUGGCCACACCUGGCGUACUAGUAAAUCAACUGUGAUCAGAUUGGUUAAAAAAAAAGAGGCUGCGUGUGAUUUCAGUUCCGGUUCAAUGCAUUUGUAAUGAGGGGCCGCACUUCUGUGCAGUGUGCACAUUAGUCGUCGUUGCCAGCAGGCUGCACCCGACAGCCAAGGGAUUUACAUGUGGCAUAGCAAGUCUCUGAGCAGUGUCUCACACUCGAGUCCUGACCGAGGGCCUUGAAACUGGCAUGCCUGUUCAAAACAUCUCCAGGACAACAAGAAGAUGAAGGAGAAUGCGUGCAGUGGGCUGAAUGGAGAAUUCGUGAAUCAAAGGCAACACCAUCAAAUGCAUUAUGAAAUUAAGCACUAUCAGGUUGUCAAGGCUGUAGCUCAGCCAACACAUUGGAUCGGCCCUCCGCAUGGUCCUGUAUGCUGCAGUUCUUUGUGCCACAAGAGGCCAAGAAGCUCUACUACAAGAAGUUGAGGCAGAAGAUGAAGAUUAUUACAAAUUAUCCAAGUCAGUUCCUUCCGACCAAGUAAUUUGAUUGGACAAGAGGCAUUCCAGUGCUGAUAUAGAGUAUAACAGCACUGGGUCUUUUAACUAUCCACGUAUCGCUCCGCUUUACGGGUGUUCUCAUAACCGUUAAUGUUAUCAACAAUCUUUUUGUAGCUUAGAUUGCAGCUGAAUUAAGUUGAAUUAAGAAUGGUCGCCAGAAGAGGAACAAGGGAACCUAAUGUAAUGCUAAUGUGUUUGUGUUGCUUGGCAACAGUUCAGUCCAGUUGCGGAUCUAUUUGUGUUGGCGGAGCCAAAUAAAUCAUUAAUGAACCAAAGAAAUCUGAACAUAAUAUGUUGUUAAUUAUUAUUGUUAACUAAUGAUUGGUGCUUGUAGAACUGUUGGAUAAAAGCAAUAUCACUCAGGAGUGAGUGCUGUUGUACUACGGCUGGGAAGAGAAUCACAGCCGUGCUGAUAUUCAGUACAACAGCACUCCCUCUUGUGUGAUAUUGCUUAAUUAUUCUGUUCCAAAAUUCCAUAAAAAGUCUCAUUACUAAGAAAUAUUGAUGUAUAGUUACUUUUGUCAGUUUCAAGUUUUUGUUUUAACACGGGGGUACCAACAAUGUGUAUGAUGUAUGACUACCUUAAAGCAUUUGUCGAUGAUCUCACCCAGCUGCUGAGAGAACCUUCAGAGGUAAACCUCUAAGGUGUGCUCCUUUUAUAAGCGAUGCUCCAGCAUGUGCUUUCUCCAAAACAGUGUGCUAUCCUCUGGUUCAGUCUUUAUCAUCUACAGUUGAUUUAGGUACAAAAAAAGUCCAUUUCACGUAUCCCAUCGAUUAAAUGCACCUCUGCUGUUUGGGUGUAAAUUUUGCCAUCACUAUUUCUUGUUACGGAGAUGAAGACAACUACUUGUCUCUUUCAUGCAUCUCCUUUGUCCACAUCUAUGUUUGGGGAAUGUAAUUUGAAGCCAUUCCGUAAGUGUUUGCUAUGCCUCAUUGUUUAUUUUACUGCAUACUACAUUGGCACACUUGGGGAAAAAAAUAUAUUUUACUC